AAAAGUGCUUUUUCUGUCCACUAGUCUAAAACAACAUGUGAAAGGUAAAGUAGGCCAAAAUCUCAAAAUUGACCAGUGCAUGAAAAAAAAUAAAAAUAAAAUAAACAAUGCCUACUGUGUUUUGUCAUGAACAUUAAGGCCAUUUGUUUGACAUUUGAGUGGACAUUUGUAUAGUAAAUGUUGAACCCAGAACAUUCCUUUAAUGUUCUAUUCACACACACACACACACAGAGUUUGUUUGGCAGGAUUCAUGUGUGUGUGUGAGUCCGGGAACGGAUCCAUGUAUAUAACUCAUCCUACAGCAGCAGGAACCAUUGUGCUCGACUGCGGGUGCCGAGGGAACUCUGAGUCUGUGACACCUGUUACCAACAGCCGGGCCGGCCGCGCCAACGCGGUGGCCAGAGUUUGCGCCGGUCAGUAUGCCAACGGUGCGGCGGGGGGGAUCAGAGGUCAUCCUCUCACUGCGUUAGGGUUAAACACUCGUUUUUCUGACAGGCUGGAGAGAACAGCAGAAACAAGCUGUGAAUGAGUCUGGAGAGAGCGGCCGAUGCUGAGCCGCCAUGCUUCGCUCCACGGGCCGCCGCUUUCCAGGUUAUGAGCAUACUUGUGUGCUGUGAGACGGAGCUACUGAGUUCUUUAAUCCAGGGAAUCUCAACCAGUGGGUCUGAUGGGUCACAGACGGCAGGUAAACACCUGUUUAUUCACUGAGUCGGAGAAGGCUGCCACUAAUGUCACUCCACACUGAUCUGUGCUCCACUGAGCUCCACUCUGCCCACGGCUGCCAUUAUGUUAAUUUCUCUAUGAACUUUACUUGUAAGUCUUUCCUAAGUGUGUCUAUGUGUGUGUGUGUGUGUGCACAUAAAUCACUCAGACUUGUGUGCUGUGAGACGGAGCUACUGAGUUCUUUAAUCCAGGGAAUCUCAACCAGUGGGUCUGAUGGGUCACAGACGGCAGAUCCUGUGCAGAUCGUCUCUCGGAGUCUCUCUACAGCCCAAACCGCCCAAAACACUCCCCGUGUCGGUCCAAACAUCAUUUUUCAUCUGAGUCGUUUGACGCGACGGAGCGCUGCUGUUUGUGUGUACAGUGAUGGAGGGCGGCGAGCGGGCGGCACUGACUCCAGACCAGUGACACUGUCCCACGCUCACAGAGUCUAUUGAUCUGCUCUGGAUGGACGGCUGGAGACAAACACGCGGCUUACAGCCGGUUUAGAGCUGGUUCUACGCCGCUAAACUGAACAAAUCUAGAAUGAACUCAAGCACAGCUCUAAACUUCACAACUGACUGAAUCUAAUUCCCUUUAUAUCUUCCUUUCGAUGCUUUAGUGUUGUAUCUGAAGUCUGUUUAAAAGCUUACGAAGCCCUGUACACCCUUAUGAGACAGAGAUUUACACCGACAUGUCUUAAAGUCGACAUUUCCUUCCUCCUCUUGUGUUCCUGUGUGUUUAUGGCCAGAAUGCAUGUGUGUUAGAAACAAAAUUUAGUUUGUUUUACUCAAAUUUAGUUAGUAUUUAGUUUAUUUAAUGAAUAGUAUUCAUUAUUUUAAAUUAGCUUUUCUUUCUGUAUUUUCAGUUUUAGAAAAUGUAUGUCUUUAUUUCAUUUUUGCUUGCUUUAUGUAUGUACUUUCCCCCUCGCCCCAGUACUUUAUUUCAAGUUUGUUUUCCAUCUAAUGUUUUAUUAUAGCUUUAUUUCAAUUAACAAAAAGGUUUCUAGUAGUUUUAGUUAACAAUAAAAACACUGCUGUCUUUAUUUCAAAUUAUAAUAAUUAUUCAGAAAAUCUUGACUGCUUUGAACAAAUUGAAUCAGUGAGUUAUCUGAUUCAUGAACACAUCAUUCAGACUGCUUUUGUGACUAACUGAUUCACUGAAAAGAUCCAGCUCAAAAGAAUGAUUCAUUGUCUUUGAUUCAGUGAUUCAAGUCUCUUUACUGUCAUUGGUGGUCCGCUGAAUGCAUCCUUGCUUAAUUUCAUUUAAAAGAAAAGACCACAAACUUUUGAACAGUUGUGUAUUUUUAUCACAGAAUAUAUUAAUCUUUGUUAAUGUUAAUCAAUAAAAUAAAAUUUAAUAAAUGCUGUAUUGUUAGUAUUGUUAGUUCAUGUUCAGUAAUAUAAUGAAUUAGAUCUUAUUGUGACAUUGCCAUUUCUCUCAUGAACUCUCAUCAAU
rnacentral:lncRNA from 1 species